rnacentral:siRNA from 1 species
UGAUGCUCUUAAUGGUCU